GUAUACCUUAUCCAUCCCAAUAAUAGUGUCCAAGAGAGUUUAUAUAUCCGUUACGCCUUUAGCUCCACUGUUACCUAUCCUAUCUAUGGUUCCAUAUGUCUCAAUCCUAUCUACCAUGGAACAGAUGCUGCAAACAAUAAUGGUAAACCAGAGACUUUUAGACGAUAACGAUUGUCGACCACAGAGUCGCUGCCCAGUGGUUUUCCAGCUGUCUCUUCAACCACUUAGAAUUCUGUUCAUCUAUUUUAGGACCAAUUGAAGUCUUCUCGAGUCUCCUAAACAUCUUGCUAUGAUAUUUUAGGAAACCUGACGAAUCAACGUGUGUUUUCUUAUAAAGUGGACUUUGGAUUCAUGACUCAUGAACACGAGCUGAAGAUAGAGCUGUAUUCAUCGCAAAGUCAUUAUGCAACAUCAUGACCAUCCUGCUAUCAUGCAUAUUUAUAUGAGGUUUCUUAAAGAGAAUGAUACGGGGUGCACAUAAUUAUAUUGGUUUAUAUUAUUUAACUUUAUGCAUAAUUAUGAUUCUGCAAUUUUCAACAUUUUAUCAAAAUUAUAUAGAAAAAGAACCUCAU